rnacentral:rRNA from 1 species
GUGCCAGCCGCCGCGGUAAGACGUAGGGGGCAAGCGUUAUCCGGAUUCACUGGGCGUAAAGGGCGUGUAGGCGGUUACGUAAGUCCGGCGUGAAAAUUCACGGCUUAACCGUGAACGUGCGUCGGAUACUGCGUUGACUUGAGGGCGGUAGAGGUAGAUGGAACUAGCGGUGUAGCGGUGAAAUGCACAGAUAUCGCUAGGAACGCCGGUGGCGAAGGCGAUCUGCUGGGCCGUUCCUGACGCUGAGGCGCGAAAGCUAGGGGAGCGAACCGGAUUAGAAACCCCCGUAGUCC